UACGAAGGGGGCUAGCGUUGCUCGGAAUCACUGGGCGUAAAGGGUGCGUAGGCGGGUCUUUAAGUCAGGGGUGAAAUCCUGGAGCUCAACUCCAGAACUGCCUUUGAUACUGAAGAUCUUGAGUUCGGGAGAGGUGAGUGGAACUGCGAGUGUAGAGGUGAAAUUCGUAGAUAUUCGCAAGAACACCAGUGGCGAAGGCGGCGAUCUGGGAAGAUACUGACGCUGAGGUGCGAAAGCGUGGGGAGCAAACAGG
rnacentral:rRNA from 1 species